rnacentral:rRNA from 1 species
AGAGUUUGAUCAUGGCUCAGGAUGAACGCUAGCGGCAGGCUUAACACAUGCAAGUCGAGGGGUAGAGGUUGCUUGCAACCUUGAGACCGGCGCACGGGUGCGUAACGCGUAUGCAACCUACCUUUUACAGAGGGAUAGCCCAGAGAAAUUUGGAUUAAUACCUCAUAGUAUAUAUCUUUCGCAUGUUAGGUAUAUUAAAGUUCCAACGGUAAAAGAUGGGCAUGCGUCCUAUUAGCUAGAUGGUAAGGUAACGGCUUACCAUGGCUACGAUAGGUAGGGGUCCUGAGAGGGAGAUCCCCCACACUGGUACUGAGACACGGACCAGACUCCUACGGGAGGCAGCAGUGAGGAAUAUUGGACAAUGGGCGCAAGCCUGAUCCAGCCAUGCCGCGUGCAGGAAGAAGCAUCUAUGGUGUGUAAACUGCUUUUGUACAGGAAGAAACAUCCCGACGUGUCGGGACUUGACGGUACUGUAAGAAUAAGGAUCGGCUAACUCCGUGCCAGCAGCCGCGGUAAUACGGAGGAUCCAAGCGUUAUCCGGAAUCAUUGGGUUUAAAGGGUCCGUAGGCGGUUUGGUAAGUCAGUGGUGAAAGCCCGCAGCUCAACUGUGGAACGGCCAUUGAUACUGCCAGACUUGAAUUACAAGGAAGUAACUACAAUAUGUAGUGUAGCGGUGAAAUGCUUAGAUAUUACAUGGAAUACCAAUUGCGAAGGCAGGUUACUACUUGUGGAUUGACGCUGAUGGACGAAAGCGUGGGGAGCGAACAGGAUUAGAUACCCUGGUAGUCC